GGGUUGUGAGGUUAAGCGACUAAGCGUACACGGUGGAUGCCCUGGCAGUCAGAGGCGAUGAAGGACGUGCUAAUCUGCGAUAAGCGUCGGUAAGGUGAUAUGAACCGUUAUAACCGGCGAUUUCCGAAUGGGGAAACCCAGUGUGUUUCGACACACUAUCAUUAACUGAAUCCAUAGGUUAAUGAGGCGAACCGGGGGAACUGAAACAUCUAAGUACCCCGAGGAAAAGAAAUCAACCGAGAUUCCCCCAGUAGCGGCGAGCGAACGGGGAGGAGCCCAGAGCCUGAAUCAGUGUGUGUGUUAGUGGAAGCGUCUGGAAAGGCGCGCGAUACAGGGUGACAGCCCCGUACACAAAAAUGCACAUGCUGUGAGCUCGAUGAGUAGGGCGGGACACGUGGUAUCCUGUCUGAAUAUGGGGGGACCAUCCUCCAAGGCUAAAUACUCCUGACUGACCGAUAGUGAACCAGUACCGUGAGGGAAAGGCGAAAAGAACCCCGGCGAGGGGAGUGAAAAAGAACCUGAAACCGUGUACGUACAAGCAGUGGGAGCCUCUUUUAUGGGGUGACUGCGUACCUUUUGUAUAAUGGGUCAGCGACUUAUAUUCUGUAGCAAGGUUAACCGAAUAGGGGAGCCGAAGGGAAACCGAGUCUUAACUGGGCGUUAAGUUGCAGGGUAUAGACCCGAAACCCGGUGAUCUAGCCAUGGGCAGGUUGAAGGUUGGGUAACACUAACUGGAGGACCGAACCGACUAAUGUUGAAAAAUUAGCGGAUGACUUGUGGCUGGGGGUGAAAGGCCAAUCAAACCGGGAGAUAGCUGGUUCUCCCCGAAAGCUAUUUAGGUAGCGCCUCGUGAAUUCAUCUCCGGGGGUAGAGCACUGUUUCGGCAAGGGGGUCAUCCCGACUUACCAACCCGAUGCAAACUGCGAAUACCGGAGAAUGUUAUCACGGGAGACACACGGCGGGUGCUAACGUCCGUCGUGAAGAGGGAAACAACCCAGACCGCCAGCUAAGGUCCCAAAGUCAUGGUUAAGUGGGAAACGAUGUGGGAAGGCCCAGACAGCCAGGAUGUUGGCUUAGAAGCAGCCAUCAUUUAAAGAAAGCGUAAUAGCUCACUGGUCGAGUCGGCCUGCGCGGAAGAUGUAACGGGGCUAAACCAUGCACCGAAGCUGCGGCAGCGACGCUUAUGCGUUGUUGGGUAGGGGAGCGUUCUGUAAGCCUGCGAAGGUGUACUGUGAGGUAUGCUGGAGGUAUCAGAAGUGCGAAUGCUGACAUAAGUAACGAUAAAGCGGGUGAAAAGCCCGCUCGCCGGAAGACCAAGGGUUCCUGUCCAACGUUAAUCGGGGCAGGGUGAGUCGACCCCUAAGGCGAGGCCGAAAGGCGUAGUCGAUGGGAAACAGGUUAAUAUUCCUGUACUUGGUGUUACUGCGAAGGGGGGACGGAGAAGGCUAUGUUGGCCGGGCGACGGUUGUCCCGGUUUAAGCGUGUAGGCUGGUUUUCCAGGCAAAUCCGGAAAAUCAAGGCUGAGGCGUGAUGACGAGGCACUACGGUGCUGAAGCAACAAAUGCCCUGCUUCCAGGAAAAGCCUCUAAGCAUCAGGUAACAUCAAAUCGUACCCCAAACCGACACAGGUGGUCAGGUAGAGAAUACCAAGGCGCUUGAGAGAACUCGGGUGAAGGAACUAGGCAAAAUGGUGCCGUAACUUCGGGAGAAGGCACGCUGAUAUGUAGGUGAAGUCCCUCGCGGAUGGAGCUGAAAUCAGUCGAAGAUACCAGCUGGCUGCAACUGUUUAUUAAAAACACAGCACUGUGCAAACACGAAAGUGGACGUAUACGGUGUGACGCCUGCCCGGUGCCGGAAGGUUAAUUGAUGGGGU
rnacentral:rRNA from 1 species